rnacentral:rRNA from 1 species
GACGAACGCUGGCGGCGCGCUUAACACAUGCAAGUCGAACGGAAAGGCCUGCUUUCCCUUGUGGAUUGCGGGUACUCGAGUGGCGAACGGGUGAGUAACACGUGAGUGAUCUGCCCCCAACUUGGGUAUAAGCCUGGGAAACUGGGUCUAAUUCCCGAUAGGACUGCAGGGUGGUGCCUGUGGUGGAAAACGAUUUUCUAGUGGUUGGGGAUGAGCUCGCGGCCUAUCAGCUUGUUGGUGGGGUAAUGGCCUACCAAGGCGGCGACGGGUAGCCGGCCUGAGAGGGUGGACGGCCACAAUGGGACUGAGAUACGGCCCAGACUCCUACGGGAGGCAGCAGUGGGGAAUAUUGCACAAUGGGCGGAAGCCUGAUGCAGCGACGCCGCGUGGGGGAUGACGGCCUUCGGGUUGUAAACUCCUUUCGACCGCGAGGAAGCCACCUGGUUGGAAGGGUGGUGACGGUAGUGGUAGAAGAAGCACCGGCUAACUACGUG